rnacentral:rRNA from 1 species
GGGAGCAAGCGUUGUUCGGAUUUACUGGGCGUAAAGGGCGCGUAGGCGGUUGGACAAGUCACUUGUGAAAUCUUGAAGCUCAACUUCAAGCUGCCAAGCGAUACUGUUCGACUAGAGUGCAGAAGGGGCAACUGGAAUUCUCGGUGUAGCGGUGAAAUGCGUAGAUAUCGAGAGGAACACCUGCGGCGAAGGCGGGUUGCUGGGCUGACACUGACGCUGAGGCGCGAAACUAGGGUAGCAAACGGGAUUAGAUACCCCGGUAGUCCUAGCCUUAAACGAUGUAUGCUUGGUGUCUGGGGUUUACAACUCCCCGGGUGCCGGCGCUAACGCAUUAAGCAUACCGCCUGGGGAGUACGUGCGCAAGCAUGAAACUCAAAGGAAUUGACGGGGACCCGCACAAGCGGUGGAGCAUGUGGUUUAAUUCGACGCAACGCGAAGAACCUUACCUACUCUAGAAUGCUCUUGCCAACUCCAGAGAUGGAGCCUCUUAGGGAAACCUAAGCAAGAUGCAAGGUGCUGCAUGGCUGUCGUCAGCUCGUGUCGUGAGAUGUUGGGUUAAGUCCCGCAACGAGCGCAACCCUUAUCAUCAGUUACUAACAGAUUAUGCUGAGAACUCUGGUGAGACUGCCGUUGAUAAAACGGAGGAAGGUGGGGAUGACGUCAAGUCCUCAUGGCCUUUAUGAGUAGGGCUACACACGUGCUACAAUGGCAGGUACAAAACGCUGCAAACCAGCGAUGGUGAGCCAAUCGUCAAAAGCCUGUCUCAGUUCGGAUUGGAGUCUGCAACUCGACUCCAUGAAGUUGGAAUCGCUAGUAAUCGCAGAUCAGCACGCUGCGGUGAAUACGUUCCCGGGUCUUGU